rnacentral:rRNA from 1 species
AUUGAACGCUGGCGGCAGGCCUAACACAUGCAAGUCGAGCGGAUGAGUGGAGCUUGCUCCAUGAUUCAGCGGCGGACGGGUGAGUAAUGCCUAGGAAUCUGCCUGGUAGUGGGGGACAACGUUUCGAAAGGAACGCUAAUACCGCAUACGUCCUACGGGAGAAAGUGGGGGAUCUUCGGACCUCACGCUAUCAGAUGAGCCUAGGUCGGAUUAGCUAGUUGGUGAGGUAAAGGCUCACCAAGGCGACGAUCCGUAACUGGUCUGAGAGGAUGAUCAGUCACACUGGAACUGGGACACGGUCCAGACUCCUACGGGAGGCAGCAGUGGGGAAUAUUGGACAAUGGGCGAAAGCCUGAUCCAGCCAUGCCGCGUGUGUGAAGAAGGUCUUCGGAUUGUAAAGCACUUUAAGUUGGGAGGAAGGGCAGUAAGUUAACACCUUGCUGUUUUGACGUUACCAACAGAAAUAGCACCGGCUAACUUCGUGCCAGCCGCCGCAGUAAUAC